GUCCUUUAGAAUUAUAAUUUGAGGUUUAACCUGCCCCACUGAUAAGUUAAAUGGCCGCAGUAAUUUGACUGUGCAAAGGUAGCAUAAUCAUUAGUUUUUUAAUUAAAAGCUAGAAUGAAUGGUUGGACGAAAUAAAAUCUGUCUCUAAUUAAUAGAUAAAAAUUAAUUUUUAAGUUAAAAAGCUUAAAUUAUUAUAAAAGACGAGAAGACCCUAUAGAUUUUUAUAUUAUAGAUUUUAAUUUUAAUUUAGAAAAUUUUAUUUAUUAUAAUCUAUGGUAUUUUAUUGGGGUAAUAGGGAGAUUAAAUUAAUUCUUUUUUUUAUAAUCAAUAAUUUUUGUUUUUUUGAUCCUUUAUUAAAGAUUAUAAGAUUAAAUUACCUUAGGGAUAACAGCGUAAUUUUUUUGGAGAGUUCUUAUCGAUAAAAAAGUUUGCGACCUCGAUGUUGGAUUAAAAAUUAUUUUAGGUGUAGUAGUUUGAAAAUUUGGUCUGUUCGACCAUUAAAUUUUUACA
rnacentral:rRNA from 1 species